rfam:Exiguobacterium sp. AT1b, complete genome.
CCGUGCUAGGUGGGGAGGUAGCGGUGCCCUGUCACUCGCAAUCCGCUGUAGCGAGACUGAAUCCCGAUUCGAGGGAGUGCGCUGGUGUGGUCUGCCUUAUGUAAGUGGCGUUGACGUCUGAGUCCUGCGCAACGGUCACCCAUGAACCAGGUCAGGUCCGGAAGGAAGCAGCCUUAAGUGGUGACGUACCGUGUGCCGCAGGGGUGCUUGGGCUGAGCAAACUGCAUGAGUAACGCAUGUUGACGUGCUUUCAGAAAUCGGUGCGCGG